rnacentral:rRNA from 1 species
CCUACGGGAGGCAGCAGUGAGGAAUAUUGGUCAAUGGCCGUAAGGCUGAACCAGCCAAGUCGCGUGAAUGAAGAAUGAUCUAUGGUUUGUAAACUUCUUUUAUAGGGGAAUAAAGGUAUCCACGUGUGACUAUUUGCAUGUACCCUAUGAAUAAGCAUCGGCUAACUCCGUUCCAGCAGCCGCGGUAAUACGGAGGAUGCGAGCGUUAGCCGGAUUUAUUGGGUUUAAAGGGUGCGUAGGUUGUUUUUUAAGUCAGCGGUGAAAGUUUGUGGCUCAACCAUAAAAUUGCCGUUGAAACUGGAAGACUUGAGUAUGUUUGAGGUAGGCGGAAUGCGUGGUGUAGCGGUGAAAGGCAUAGAUAUCACGAAGAACUCCGAUUGCGAAGGCAGCUUACUAAGCCAUAACUGACACUGAAGCACGAAAGCGUGGGGAUCAAACAGGAUUAGAUACCCUAGUAGUC